GACAGAGGGUGCAAACGUUGUUCGGAAUUACUGGGCGUAAAGCGCGUGUAGGUGGCGAGGCAAGUCGGGUGUGAAAGCCCUGGGCUCAACCCAGGAAGUGCACUCGAUACUGCCUAGCUAGAGUCCCGGAGAGGUUGGUGGAACUCUCGGUGUAGAGGUGAAAUUCGUAGAUAUCGAGAAGAACACCGGUGGCGAAGGCGGCGUUCUGGACUGUAUCUGACACUGAGGAACGAAAGCCAGGGGAGCAAACGGG
rnacentral:rRNA from 1 species